rnacentral:sRNA from 1 species
AGCUCAGCCAUGUGCUGUGCUGGGCGCCCACGGACCCACCCACGGGCCUCUCCUACUUCUCCAGCAUGUAUCCACCGCACCCUCUCACGGCGCAGUACGGGGUGAAAGUCCUGCGGUCGUUCCCUCCGGACGCCAUCCUCUUCUACAUCCCCCAGAUUGUGCAGGCCCUCAGAUGGGCUAUGUGCGGGAGUAUAUUCUGUGGGCAGCGUCUAAAUCCCAGCUUCUGGCGCACCAGUUCAUCUGGAACAUGAAGACUAACAUUUAUCUAGAUGAAGAGGGCCACCAGAAAGACCCUGACAUCGGCGACCUCCUGGAGCAGUUAGUAGAGGAGAUCACAGGCUCCUUGUCGGGCCCAGCGAAGGACUUUUACCAGCGGGAGUUUGAUUUCUUUAACAAGAUCACCAACGUGUCGGCUAUCAUCAAGCCCUACCCUAAAGGCGACGAGAGAAAGAAGGCUUGUCUGUCAGCCCUGUCUGAAGUGAAGGUGCAGCCGGGCUGCUACCUGCCCAGCAACCCCGAGGCCAUCGUGCUGGACAUCGACUACAAGUCUGGGACCCCGAUGCAGAGUGCUGCAAAAGCCCCAUAUCUGGCCAAGUUCAAGGUGAAGCGAUGUGGAGUUAGUGAACUUGAAAAAGAAGGUCUGCGGUGCUGCUCAGACUCCGAGGAUGAGUGCAGCACGCAGGAGGCUGACGGCCAGAAGAUCUCCUGGCAGGCAGCCAUCUUCAAAGUGGGAGAUGACUGCCGGCAGGACAUGCUGGCCCUGCAGAUCAUCGACCUCUUCAAGAACAUCUUCCAGCUGGUCGGCCUGGACCUCUUUGUUUUUCCCUACCGCGUGGUGGCCACUGCCCCUGGGUGCGGGGUGAUCGAGUGCAUCCCCGACUGCACCUCCCGGGACCAGCUGGGCCGCCAGACAGACUUCGGCAUGUACGACUACUUCACACGCCAGUACGGGGAUGAGUCCACCCUGGCCUUCCAGCAGCAUGGCCGCCUACAGCCUCCUGCUGUUCCUGCUGCAGAUCAAGGAUAGACACAAUGGCAACAUUAUGCUGGACAAGAAGGGCCAUAUCAUCCACAUCGGUCAGCCAGCCACAGCACCACCCUCCUCUCCCUUCACCCCUGGCACCCAGGGGUGGAUAGGGAUCCCCACCCCACAGAGAGGAGCAUGCCCAGGACCACCCUGCCAGGAGUGUCAGGGUCCAGCUCUGAGGUCCGAACUGUCAGCCACCAAGCUGUUCUGCUGUAGAGGGUGCCUGGCCCCGGCCCCAGGGAGCUGGGGCGAGAGCCGCCAUUGCUCUGAGUCAGAAGCUGGAGCUGGGCGGAGUGGGGCUCGUCCAGGUUCAGUGUCCCAGCUUGGCUCCUUCCUCCACUUCCUCCCUUCUCUUUCUCUGCCUGCUGCCCCACCACCCACCCCAUCACUGUCCCCAAGAAAACACAACCUGCCUGUUGGGGGUGGAGGGGAUGCUCCUGUUGCAGAGUCCUUUGCCACUCCUCAAAACAGACCACUUGUGCCUGCGCGCCCUGGCUCCUACCCAGUCACAGGCAGCUCUUUGGGGUUUUGCAGACUUUGGCUUCAUGUUUGAAAGCUCGCCGGGCGGCAAUCUCGGCUGGGAACCCGACAUCAAGCUGACGGAUGAGAUGGUGAUGAUCAUGGGGGGCAAGAUGGAGGCGACGCCCUUCAAGUGGUUCAUGGAGAUGUGUGUCCGAGGCUACCUGGCUGUGCGGUGAGCCUGGGUGAGGGCCAGGGUGGAGGCGGAGGGGGUGUGUGGAACGUUCUGAGGUCCCCUUUAGGAUGAAGGGAAUCCAGUUCCAGAGAGUGAGGUAGGUGCUAGCAGCUGCCUGCUGACCUACACCUAUCCUUUGGUCACCUCUGUCUGCCCACCUGUGCCAGUAAAUUCUUGCUCUGGGCAUCUAAUUCCAACCACCUUCCCCAGUAUCUUGCCCACGCCUUCAGCCAUGGGCUCUCCCUUUCUGGGCAUCCCAUCCACCCUGUCACCAAAGCCUGAGCACCUGCCACCCCACAGGCUACGUGCCAAAGAUGGGCUUUGUCCCAGUUUCAUAUACAGGUCACUUGGCCAAGGCCACAGUCCAACCUGGGUUCAUCCCCACUGCCCUGCAGAGAAAGGCAGAUCAGCGUGUCUGCAUCCCACCCAGGUGCAGAAGCCAUGGCCGGCAGCCUUACGUGGGGGAUAGGGCAGGACACUCAGCCUGUCCAGAGUGCGUGUGAGCAGCCCUUACCUGAGCGGUUCAGGUUACCGAGUACAGCAGAUCGAAAGUUGCCUCGGGGAUGUGCAAGAUGUGGCAGGCGAGGUGGGUGGCAGGAGCCCACACCUGAGGCUGUUGGCAUCAGCCAGGCCACAGGAGUACAGGCAGGGCCACCACCUAGGUUGGCCUCAGCCCACUGCUCCCUCCUCUCUCUCCCCAGGCCCUACAUGGACGCGGUCGUCUCCCUGGUCACUCUCAUGUUGGACACGGGCCUGCCCUGUUUUCGUGGCCAGACAAUCAAGCUCUUGAAGUACAUUUCCAGGGCGUGGCUCUCAGCUGAAGUCCGUCCCCAUGGAAGACCCUCCUCCCACUGGGCCAGGGAGCCAGCACGGCCCUGCCCAUGGCAGCCCUGACACAGCCUCUCCCCCAGGCACAGGUUUAGCCCCAACAUGACCGAGCGCGAGGCUGCAAAUUUCAUCAUGAAGGUCAUCCAGAGCUGCUUCCUCAGCAACAGGAGCCGGACCUACGACAUGAUCCAGUACUAUCAGAAUGACAUCCCCUACUGAGGAGGGGACCUCCGAGGCCCUCCGCCCCAUGUGCCCUCGAAGCUGCCCCACAAUCAUGGAGCCCUGUGACCUCCCCAUCCUGCCGCCACAUGCCAUGGAGAGGCCUGUGGCCCGAAGAGCCUGGUAGCGCCUCCUGGGGCAGCACGUGGGUGGCGCAGCCUUGGUAACGCCAUGGACUGCAGCGACAAUCAUUGGAUGGUGCUGUCUAUGCACGGGUGUGAGUCCUCUGUUUGCACUGGACAUAUUCCCUACCUGUCUUAUUUCAUAGGUACAUGAAGUAUUUUCUUGUGUAUAAAAAAAGAUAUAAGAUUUAACCAACAUCAACAAAAUAAAAACCCAAAAUAG